UACAGAGGUCUCAAGCGUUGUUCGGAUUCAUUGGGCGUAAAGGGUGCGUAGGCGGCGCGGUAAGUCGGGUGUGAAAUCUCGGGGCUUAACUCCGAAACUGCAUUCGAUACUGCCGUGCUUGAGGACUGGAGAGGAGACUGGAAUUUACGGUGUAGCGUGAAAUGCGUAGAUAUCGUGAGGAAGACCAGUGGCGAAGGCGGGUCUCUGGACAGUUCCUGACGCUGAGGCACGAAGGCAGGGGAGCAAACGGGAUUAGA
rnacentral:rRNA from 1 species